rnacentral:rRNA from 1 species
UGAACGCUAGCGACAGGCCUAACACAUGCAAGUCGAGGGGCAGCACAAGGAGCAAUCUGAGGUGGCGACCGGCGCACGGGUGAGUAACACGUAUGCAACCUGCCUGUAAGCGGGGAAUAACCCGUUGAAAGACGGACUAAUACCGCAUAAUACUAAAUUACUGCAUGGUAAUUUAUUUAAACAUUUAUGGCUUACAGAUGGGCAUGCGCAUGAUUAGCUAGUUGGAGAGGUAACGGCUCCCCAAGGCAACGAUCAUUAGGGGUUCUGAGAGGAAGGUCCCCCACACUGGUACUGAGACACGGACCAGACUCCUACGGGAGGCAGCAGUGAGGAAUAUUGGUCAAUGGACGAGAGUCUGAACCAGCCAAGUCGCGUGCAGGAAGAAUGUCCUAUGGAUUGUAAACUGCUUUUGCAGGGGAAUAAAGUGCAUCACGUGUGAUGUUUUGUAUGUACUCUGCGAAUAAGGAUCGGCUAACUCCGUGCCAGCAGCUGC